UGGGGAAUUUUGCACAAUGGGGGAAACCCUGAUGCAGCGACGCCGCGUGAUUUAGAAGGCCUUCGGGUUGUAAAAAUCUUUUCUAUGGGAAGAAAAUGACAGUACCAUAGGAAUAAGGACCGGCUAAUUACGUGCCAGCAGCCGCGGUAAUACGUAAGGUCCGAGCGUUGUCCGGAAUCAUUGGGCGUAAAGGGUACGUAGGCGGGUAAGCAAGUUAGAAGUGAAAUCCUAUAGCUCAACUAUAGUAAGCUUUUAAAACUGCUCAUCUUGGGGUAUGGAAGGGAAAGUAGAAUUCCUAGUGUAGCGGUGAAAUGCGCAGAUAUUAGGAGGAAUACCGGUGGCGAAGGCGACUUUCUGGCCAUAACCUGACGCUGAGGUACGAAAGCGUGGGUAGCAAACAGG
rnacentral:rRNA from 1 species